rnacentral:tRNA from 3 species
GUCCUCGUAGUUCAAUGGAUAAAACACCAGCUUCCGAAGCUGGAUUUGUGGGUUCGAGUCCCACCGGGGGCA